rnacentral:rRNA from 1 species
AGAGUUUGAUCCUGGCUCAGAACGAACGCUGGCGGCGUGCCUAACACAUGCAAGUCGUACGAGAAAUCCUGGGCAACUGGGAAAGUAAAGUGGCGCACGGGUGAGUAACGCGUGGGUAACCUACCCUUGGAUUUGGGAUAACUCCGCGAAAGCGGGGUUAAUACCGAAUGAUAUUCCGAUCUCUAAGGGGAUUGGAAUCAAAGAUGGCCUCUGCAUGCAAGCUAUUGUCUAAGGAUGGGCCCGCGUACCAUUAGCUAGUUGGUAGGGUAAUGGCCUACCAAGGCAACGAUGGUUAGCUGGUCUUAGAGGAUGGCCAGCCACACUGGAACUGAGACACGGUCCAGACUCCUACGGGAGGCAGCAGUGGGGAAUCUUGCGCAAUGGGGGAAACCUUGACGCAGCAACGCCGCGUGGGUGAUGAAGGCCUUCGGGUCGUAAAGCCCUGUCAGGUGGGAAGAAACACAUCGGUGCUAAUAUCACCGAUGUUUGACGGUACCGCCGGAGGAAGCACCGGCUAACUCCGUGCCAGCAGCCGCGGUAAUACGGAGGGUGCAAGCGUUGUUCGGAAUUACUGGGCGUAAAGCGCGUGUAGGCGGUCGGGCAAGUCAGAUGUGAAAGCCUUCCGCUUAACGGAAGAAGUGCAUUUGAAACUACCCGGCUGGAGUACGGGAGAGGAGAGUGGAAUUCCCGGUGUAGAGGUGAAAUUCGUAGAUAUCGGGAGGAACACCAGUGGCGAAGGCGGCUCUCUGGUCCGAUACUGACGCUGAGACGCGAAAGCGUGGGGAGCAAACAGGAUUAGA